rnacentral:rRNA from 1 species
AGUGAUCGAUAGUGAACCAGUACCGUGAGGGAAAGGUGAAAAGUAGCCCGGAGAGGGCGGUGAAAUAGUCCCUGAAACCAUGUGCUUACAAUGAGUUGGAGCUCUAGUCUAUAUCUUCGGAUUUAGGCAGAGUGACAGCGUUCCUAUUGAAGAAUGAGCCUGCGAGUUAGUUCAUGUGGCAAGCUUAAGGACCUAUGGUCUGAAGGCGUAGCGAAAGCGAGUCUUAACGGGCGUUUAGUCUCAUUAAAUAGACCCGAAACUGAGUGAGCAAUCCAUGGCCAGGUUGAACUUUUUCGAAAGAAAAAGGGAGGACCGAACUCACGCGCCGUGCAACACGCGGAGAUGAGCUGUGGAUAGCGGAGAAAUUCCAAUCGAACUCAGUAAUAGCUGGUUCUCCUCGAAAUAGCUUUAGGGCUAGCUGUAUAUGUUCCUAUUGGUGGUAGAGCACUGGAUGGGAUUUGGGCGGUUCGCCGUACCAUUCCUAAUCAAACUCCGAAUGCCAGUAAUUAAUAGUAUGCAAGUUAGACUGCGGGGGCUAAGCUUCGUAGUCAAAAGGGAAACAGCCCAGAUCGUCAGUUAAGGUCCCAAAAUCGAUACUAAGUGUAAAAGGUGGUGUCAAUUCUUAUACAACCAGGAAGUUGGCUUAGAAGCAGCCAUCCUUUAAAGAUAGCGUAACAGCUCACUGGUCAAGAGUUUUCGCGCCUAAAAUGUACCGGGGCUAAGUGAUAUACCGAAGUUGCGAAUUCUAUACUUUUUAGUAUAGAGUGGUAGAGGAGCGUUCCAAACUGCAGUGAAGCCGGAUCCGUGAGGGCCGGUGGAGCGUUUGGAAGUGAGAAUGCAGGCACAAGUAGCAAAAAUGGGUGUGAAAGACACCCACGCCGAAAACCCAAGGUUUCCAGGGCAACGAGAAUCGUCCCUGGGUUAGUCGAUCCUAAGGCCAGGCCGAAAGGCGUAACCGAUGGAAGAGCAGGUUAAUAUUCCUGCACUUGGUAUAGUUUGUAUAUAUAUGUAUGUUUCAAUGGUGUGAGCGUUGUAUGGCUACACGUUUCGCAAGAUGGAGACCAAUUCUUCGGAGGAGGUCAACUCGCGUUUGAGAAGCAUCUAGAAGAGUAUAUAUGCGCUAGGCUAUAUCAAAUCGUACCGCAAACCGACACAGGUGGGUAGGUCGAGAAGACCAAGGCGUACAAGAGAAACAUGGUUAAGGAACUCGGCAAAACAGCGGCCGUAACUUCGGGAUAAGGCCUGCCCUAGCAAGAGGGCCGCAGCUAAAGACUCCAUGCGACUGUUUACCAAAAACACAGCUCCCUGCAAAAGCGUAAGCUGAAGUAUAGGGGGCGAUGCCUGGCCAGUGUCAGAACGUUAAGGAAGCGGGUUAUCUGAAUUUAUUUAGAGAAGCUUGCGACUGAAGCGCUGAUGAACGCCGGCGGUAACUAUAACCGUCCUAAGGUAGCGAAAUUCCUUGUCGGGUGAGUUCCGACCCGCACGAAUGGCAUAACGGUGUGGAGACUGUCUUAACUAUGUACUUGGCGAAAAUGCAAGUGUCGUGAAGAUGCGACAUACCCGCAGCUAGACGAAAAGACCCCAUGAAGCUUUACUACAACUUGACAUUGGUAUAUUGUUUC